AGCAGCCGCGGUAAUUCCAGCUCCAAUAGCGUAUAUUAAAGUUGCUGCGGUUAAAAAGCUCGUAGUUGAAUUUCGGGAUCAUCAUGUCGGUCGUGCCUCGGUACGUACUGGCAUUGUUGGUUUCUCCCUUCUGAAGAACCAUGAUGUCAUUAAUCUGGUGUCUUGGGGAAUCAGGACUGUUACUUUGAAAAAAUUAGAGUGUUUAAAGCAGGCUCGCGCUUGAAUACAUUAGCAUGGAAUAAUGAAAUAGGACGUUUGAUUCUAUUUUGUUGGUUUCUAGGAUCGACGUAAUGAUUAAUAGGGAUAGUUGGGGGCAUUAGUAUUCAAUUGUCAGAGGUGAAAUUCUUGGAUUUAUUGAAGACUAACUACUGCGAAAGCAUUUGCCAAGGAUGUUUUCAUUAAUCAAGAACGAAAGUUAGGGGAUCGAAGACGAUCAGAUACCGUCGUAGUCUUAACCAUAAACUAUGCCGACUAGGGAUCGGGUGAUGUUAAUUUUAUAAUGACUCAUUC
rnacentral:rRNA from 1 species